CGUCUGAUUUUAGGGUUUGCAUCUCAAUUUUUUUUUUCAGUCUCAGCUUCUUCUUCUCCGUCCCCUUUCUAUAUGUGGCUAAACAUAGUUCAUUCACAGGAAAACCCCUAAACUUCUCUACUGUGGCCGCUCCAAUGGGGUCCUCCGGCUUGCCCACUUUGCCGGUUCCCUUCCUCUCAUCUCAAUAAGCCGCGACUGGGAUUUUUAUCUCAGAAGUUUAUCGAAUAGUGCAGUCUGCCAGAGACUCCAAUACUGCCAGUGAUCCCGCUUCUGAUUCUUCUCUUGUACAAUCUGUUAAGAAGCUUCAUGAAUUAUGUAAAGCUGAGAAUGCAGAGGAUCUUGUUGUAAGAGUUUAUCCACAUAUUAACAAGCUUUUUUCAACGCUCAGUUGCUUCACUGUCACAAUCUCGAACAUCCAAUGGCCUUCUCUUACUGGUUCGAAUUAAAUUUUCACAAAUUUAUUAGCUGCAAUGAGAUUUGAUUUGGGAUGAAGAUAUUUUUAGAUGAAAGAGAUAUUCUUUACAAGUAUUAUUUUUUACUCACUUUUAAUAUAUUGUGUUUAGUAGAAAUAUAAACUUUAUAAUUGAUGUGACCACUUUUGAUCUUGUAAUCCUAGCUAAAACUUUGCAUAUCCUUAGAAACUAAUCGAUACCCUUUAGGCUUUAUCUAUCACUAUGCAUGAUUGCUGAAUAAAAUUUGACCAUCUACUAUUGCCCACAUAUUUCUC